GAGUGUACAAAUUUGUGUGUUUUACUGCAGAUGAAGAGAACAGUUCCUUCUAGGCAGAAACCAGGCUCUAGUCAAAAAUACAGGCCUGUAACGCAGGGUUGAGGUUUCAGUGCAACUGGGAACAGGAGACUGUGAAAAGCCAUACCCCAGCAGCUGACAGGGGGUAAGUCAGCUCCAGCUCUUCAAGCAUCCCUGCCUUUCUGACUCAAGCUUUGGCUCUGCCUGUCUGUGACCUGAUACCUUGCAGAAAUACUGGAAGUUCCCACAGCCUCCACCUCGCAGCAUGACUGAUAAUAAAACUCAUUGAUGACUGAUA